rnacentral:rRNA from 1 species
CCUACGGGUGGCAGCAGUGAGGAAUAUUGGUCAAUGGCCGCUAGGCUGAACCAGCCAAGUCGCGUGAAGGAUGACUGUCCUAUGGAUUGUAAACUUCUUUUAUCUGGGAAUAAAGUGCAGUAUGUAUACUGCUUUGCAUGUACCUGAUGAAAAAGGAUCGGCUAACUCCGUGCCAGCAGCCGCGGUAAUACGGAGGAUGCGAGCGUUAUCCGGAUUUAUUGGGUUUAAAGGGUGCGUAGGCGGGAUGUUAAGUCAGUGGUAAAAGUUCGGGGCUCAACCCCGGCGAGGCGUUGAAAAUGGCGGUCUUGAGAGGGCGAGAGGGAGGCGGAAUGCGUAGUGUAGCGGUGAAAUGCUUAGAUAUUGCGCAGAACUCCGAUUGCGAAGGCAGCAGACAGGCGGCGAUCUGACGCUGAGGCACGAAAGCGUGGGUAUCGAACAGGAUUAGAUACCCCAGUAGUC